rnacentral:rRNA from 1 species
UACGGGGGGGGGCAAGCGUUGUUCGGAAUUACUGGGCGUAAAGGGCUCGUAGGUGGCCAACUAAGUCAGACGUGAAAUCCCUCGGCUUAACCGAGGAACUGCGUCUGAUACUGGAUGGCUUGAGUUUGGGAGAGGGAUGCGGAAUUCCAGGUGUAGCGGUGAGAUGCGUAGAUAUCUGGAGGAACACCGGUGGCGAAGGCGGCAUCCUGGACCGGUAUUGACGCUGAGGCGCGAAAGCCAGGGGAGCAAACGGG